rnacentral:rRNA from 1 species
GAUGAACGCUAGCGGGAGGCUUAACACAUGCAAGUCGAGGGGCAUCACGAGGUAGCAAUACUUUGGUGGCGACCGGCGCACGGGUGAGUAACACGUAUGCAACCUACCCUGUACAGGGGGAUAACCCGGAGAAAUUCGGACUAAUAUCCCAUGCAAUUAUUGGAGGGCAUCCUUUGAUAAUUAAAGCUCAGGCGGUAUAGGAUGGGCAUGCGGAACAUUAGCUAGUUGGUAGGGUAACGGCCUACCAAGGCUACGAUGUUUAGGGGACCUGAGAGGGUUAUCCCCCACACUGGUACUGAGACACGGACCAGACUCCUACGGGAGGCAGCAGUGAGGAAUAUUGGUCAAUGGGCGCAAGCCUGAACCAGCCAUCCCGCGUGAAGGAAGAAGGCCCUAUGGGUUGUAAACUUCUUUUCCAGGGGGUGAAUAAUUCCGAUGUAUCGGGAGAUGACGGUACCCUGGGAAUAAGCAUCGGCUAACUCCGUGCCAGCAGCCGCGGUAAACUAGCGU